AUUAAGACGCCCAGAAGAUAACCGCGGUGUCUUUAUUACAAACCCGCAAGAGAAGAUGGCACGUGGCGGUGUUUAAAGCGCGGUUCAUAUAAUCCCCGGAUGUACUGUCAGCGGAUGACCAGAUGAUGUCAGACUCUUCAAGAAAGUAGACCGAAGUGCCUCGUGCUGAAAAACACCACGUGCAGCCUAAAGACGGCUAGUUUGGGGACUUCGUCUCCAAAUUCAGCUGCUUUCUCGCUGUUGCUGCGACUUUAACGUCAUAAACACGUCUUAAGCGUCGAUCAAGAUGGCGGAGAAAGCGUGUGCCGGGACGCAGCAUUCUGCCGUGUUUACUGAAAUAGGAGAGGAUGGUGUACAGCAGUCAGAAAGCAAAGUGAAGGGGUGGAGUCUGGACUCGAACUCGGGACGCCUUUAAUGCAAUUGGUGCACUAGGCUACUGACACCGACGUUAUCAGCCAUUUUGUUCCAGGAAUAUUAACCCAGCCAUCAAACCUGAUCUCCCGAGAAGAGCGCCACCUACAGCAUCGGAGAAAUGUGCGUUUACGAUCAGUGGGAUGGAUUUAGGAUGGAUUUUUUUUACACUCUCUGACACAAACUGGUUUAAGGUAAUAAAACAAGAUGGGCCUGCUUGAAGCGAAGACAU